GUUAGCAGGUUAGAGUGAGCCCUGGCGGCGGCUCCGGGCUCCACGCACUGUGUAUGUGUGGUGGUGGUGAAGCCGCUUGCUGCUGGGGUCACGUGCUGCGGAGAGGGAGACGGAGGCGGCUGGAGCUGGGAGGGGGCGGACUGCGCUCCCGAGCAGUCAGACACAGACACAGCUUGUUUUGGUUUAUUUCUCAAGGAGAAGUCGGAGAGAGGAGGAGGGGGGGAGACAGAGACGCGGAGAGCGCGAGAGGGGAAGCUCUCUGGUCAGAAACUCCAGCAACUCCUGGAUGCUGCACGAGCCAGGGAAGCCCUCACCUCCCCGCGCUGACCGGCUCCUUGGUACCGUCCUCCAGUUACCCCCCGCUCGCUGGCAGUUGCUGGGGUCACUGCCCUGGUAGCCGGGCUCGGAGGAGGAAGGAGAGAGGGUGAGAGCGCAGCUACCUGCCCUGCCUGCCUGGCUGCCCUCACCGCUCGCUGCUCCCCAUCCUGGCAAUGGGACUGAAUGGGGACACGGACCGGCUGUGAUUCCCAGCCAGCUCUGACCUUGCACUGGGGGGUCUGCGGAGGAUCACCUCGCCCUGUGCCCGGCUCCUGGACCGCAGCUCGGGCUGGGCUCUGGAGGGCAGAUGCCCAGGGGGAUCGUUCCCAUUGCUGCCCUGGGAUUUCGCCGGGAUUGUUAUGGUGUCUGAGGGCGAGCUGCAGUACUCGGUGGCUUCUUUCUGGGAUGUAAGAGAAGAGGGACCUGCAGCAACGUGCUGAGCCCAGCAAGGGGACAUAAAUACAAUAAAUACUACUCUGCCUGUUUGUGAAGUGGAUCUCUCUCCACUUCAUCACUUUAAAUAAGUGGUGCUGAUUUUUUUUUUUUUUUUUUCCUGCAAUCUUCUGCAUACACUUUAUUGACGAGGAGUAGGAAGGUGUGCGGAA